rnacentral:lncRNA from 1 species
CUCCAACAACGAGGGGAUUUAUGGCGGAUCAGGUGUUGGAGGGUAGCAGCGGAUCUGGUAUAAGGAACUAUGUAAAAGCAGGUUAGGCUCCUCGAUUAUAUUGGCAGGAGAAUGAAAAUGGGCUGCAAAUGAGUGAUAAGUCGAUUACAGAGACUGUACUUGGAAGAAGCUCUCUUCGUUUGCACGAGUGGGGACGUGAUCCGGUUAGUUCUAGUAGCACAAUGGGUGCUACUAAAAAAUCAAAGCUUCUUGCUUACGAAGAGCCGUGGAUGCUUACGAUGAGCUGGUGGAAGAACUUGGAACCGUGAAAGGUAAAUGUGCAAUUAUGGAACAGGCGUUGAUUGAGAAUAAUAUCAUGCCUCGUCCAUCAAGCACACUAGAACAAUCCCAAUGUGAUGCAUUAGAGGGUGUUGAAAACAUUGAUGAGUGAAAGCGAUUUAGUAGAUUCUAUAACUCGUUAUUAACAUGUAAACACUUUUAGUUUUGUUUGUUUUAGUAUUUAAAUUUCUAUAACUACCACUUUUAUUUGGUUGUUUGUAAGAUUGAUGUUUAUUAGUUUAAUUAAGAAUCGUA